UUGAAACCACACCUAAAAAGAGACCUCUAAGGACUCUCGUAAAAGACGAGUUUGAUAGAGUCGGGAUGUACGCACCAAGGUGACGAGGUGUUGAGUCCGACGACUACUAACGUCCACGCUAGAUUUGUU
rnacentral:rRNA from 1 species